rnacentral:pre_miRNA from 1 species
GUGGGCAGGGGGGUGGGGCCCGGGACUUGUGCGCAUGUUGGGCUAUCACUGGAGUCCCCACUCUUGUUCUGAGCACCACCCCUCUCUCAG